GGGGCAGGACGCUUGCCGCCGCCGCCGCCUCAGGGGGUGCUGCUGCGACCCGGCAAAGCCGUUCGUCCCGGAUCCCGCAGGGCCCCGCAAGCUCCUUGUGCCGCCCGGGGUCAAGCCGGGCUACCUCCACUUCCCCGGGUGUGGGAGGGUGUCCCGGCCUCUUCUGAAGGGAGUCAAAACCCGGGCCAGUCGCCCACCGCCCUGAGAGGAAACAGUCUGCGCCGGAUAGGGGACACUCAGGUUUUCUGCUACUCUGUCCUCUAUUGAUACACCUUUACGUCCUUUAUUUGUCCUAAUUAAGGAGGCCCAGAAUUGGUACGACAAAGAAAACCAUAGUUUGUGAAGGGCACAGUUGGUGAACGAUCGCUCCAUUUUGUCCUCUAUUUGUCCUCUUUGGGAGGAAAAUACAGGACAAAAAGGGCUUUGUAUCAAUAGAGCACAACCGGACUGUCCUCUAUGACGGCCACCCUAGUGCCAGAUGAGAGAAACUCUACCCCCCCUCCCUGCCCUCCCCAGGGAAAACCCUAGAGAGGAAGAAGCUGGUUACAUCCCCCCAGAACACAAUCUGGCUUCCACAGGAGCAGGAACUGCUUACCCCAGCAAACACGUUUUGCAGCUCAAAGGGAGCUGUGUGAGGGCACAAGUACUAGAACUGGAGCAGAAAUCAGCCAAAAUGCUACAUUCAAUCAAUGAUGAAUCACAUUUUUGCAGAGGUACAGCAGUAGGAAGGUACAGAGGAGGACAGGUGUCAUAAUUUCUUCUCAGCAGAGGUAGUUCUAACAAGAAUCUUACAUCAAGUGGAGAUAAAGUUGUGAUGUUUACAAUAAAGAAAUUGAAUUCCUACCUUUAAGAAUGAU